rnacentral:rRNA from 1 species
CCAGACUCCUACGGGAGGCAGCAGUGGGGAAUAUUGCACAAUGGGGGAAACCCUGAUGCAGCGACGCCGCGUGAGCGAAGAAGUAUUUCGGUAUGUAAAGCUCUAUCAGCAGGGAAGAAAAUGACGGUACCUGAGUAAGAAGCUCCGGCUAAAUACGUGCCAGCAGCCGCGGUAAUACGUAUGGAGCAAGCGUUAUCCGGAUUUACUGGGCGUAAAGGGAGCGUAGGCGGCCUGCCAAGUCUGAUGUGAAAUACCGGGGCUCAACCCCGGGGCUGCAUUGGAAACUGGCAGGCUGGAGUGCCGGAGAGGCAGGCGGAAUUCCUAGUGUAGCGGUGAAAUGCGUAGAUAUUAGGAGGAACACCAGUGGCGAAGGCGGCCUGCUGGACGGUGACUGACGCUGAGGCUCGAAAGCGUGGGGAGCAAACAGGAUUAGAUACCCGAGUA